rnacentral:rRNA from 1 species
UACGUAGGGGGCAAGCGUUGUCCGGAAUCAUUGGGCGUAAAGCGCGUGUAGGCGGCCUGGUAGGUCAGCUGUGAAAACUCGAGGCUCAACCUCGAGACGCCGGUUGAAACCAUCAGGCUAGAGUCCGGAAGAGGAGAGUGGAAUUCCCGGUGUAGCGGUGAAAUGCGCAGAUAUCGGGAAGAACACCCGUGGCUAAGGCGGCUCUCUAGUACGGUACUGACGCUGAGACGCGAAAGCGUGGGGAGCGAACAGG